CCUGGGAUGAAUUAGGGCCCCUUUAGGUCUCUGUUCUUUUCCUCUUUGCACCACCCUUCGCAAUGGCUAGCAUGAGGUGCCCAGCCCAGGUCCUCACUGCUGACUAGAACAGAUCCUUUCUGCCGGGGGGGAUGUCCCAAAGAGUCCCAGAAUCCUGCACGUUUCCCUAGGGGCUUUCUCACUUCCCGGAGGCUGGGACUGAAAUGGUGGCCGCGCUCCUCCAAGCUUCUUGUGACCUCACAGUGCCUCUCAGUGGUCACACAGCACACUGCAAGCCGACGUGAGAUGGAAGACGGAUUUGGAUUAGUCUGUUUCUUCCCAGGUCACAACUGUGCUUCUCCCCGCCUCUCCAACUGCCUGGAUUGCUUCCAUCCUUCCUUCCCAGCUGACCCCUCUCCAGAGAAGAUCGAAGUCAUUACCUUUCAGCAGCGAGAUCACCUCCCAACCAUUGUGGACACUUUCAAAAUAACUUGAAACAUUGAUGGACAGUGAAAGAGGUUAGGAGAAGGAGCAUACAGAAGUCACGUCACUUCCCUGAGUAAAGGCAGCCAUGGCCUCCUGUGGUGUCGAAUGAAAUGCAAGCUCCUGCCCGAGGUUCCUCAGGCCCUCUGUGACCACGUUCCUGCUCACCUGUUGUCCAGCAAGUCCUGUCCCUCACGGAGUUCUGCCUGGCUGUUCCCUGAGCACGGCCAGCUGUUUUGCUGCCUCAGGGCCUUUGCAUUUGUCUUUUCCUUUGCUCGGAAUGUCUUUUGCCAGAUCUUGCACAUGUGGCUCUUUUUGGGGGUAUUCAAAUCAAGAUAUGGUGUCUUGGCUUCCUGAGGUUUAAGUCUCAGCUAAAACAUCACCUCUUCAAAGCAACUUUUCCUGACCAAGGCACCCCGCUGUACCCUCGAGUGCAUCCCCCUGUUUGAUACUCUCCACAGUACUUGUCAGGAUCUGUAGUGACCUUGGGUACUGUUAAUUUGCAUAUCUGUCCACCCU